rnacentral:rRNA from 1 species
GACGAACGCUGGCGGCGCGCUUAACACAUGCAAGUCGAGCGAAGCGGCGGACGGGUGAGUAACACGUGAGUAACCUGCCUUAGACAUUGGGAUAGCCUCGGGAAACCGGGAUUAAUACCAAAUGGUCUAAGAUGGACUCGCGUCCCAUUAGCUAGUUGGUGGGUAACGGCCCACCAAGGCGACUAUGGUUAGCCGGCCUGGGAGGGUGGACGGACACAUUGGACCUGGGCAGCGGUCCAAACUCUACGGAAGGGGGCAGUGGGGAAUAUUGCACAAUGGAGGGAACUCUGAGGCAGCGACGCCGCGUAAACGAAGAAGGCUUUCAAGUCGUGAAGUUCUUUUAUAUGGGAAGCGGUACCAUAAGAAAAAGCCCCGGCUAACUACGUGCCAGCAGCCGCGGUAAUAC